GAUUAAGAAAACCAUGUGACAAUACUGCACAGUACUCUCAAACUGCUGAAUAAUUACUCUCUCUCCCUACCCCCCACCUUUGCCUUCUCUAUAAAGCUGGUGCAAAGAUUAUAUAUGCUAAUGUGGUCCAUGAGAUAACUUGUAUGGGCAUGGUUCAUAUCUCUCUCUCUCUCUCUCUCCCCAGUGCAAGACAUGAGGAGAGGGUAUGAGAUGAGAUCUGAGGGGAUAAUUAAGAGAAUUCUGUGCAAGUCCUGCCAUGCUUUUCCACAGCUUUCUUGAACUUCCAUAUCUAUUGUUCUUAAUUUUGUUUUCUAGAAAUAGAUCAACUGUGGAAGCUCAAGAAAGCUGUGGGAAGACAUGGCAGUUCAGGACUUCUUUGCCGCCACUCUGAUUCCUGCAUUUCUGUUGCCCUAAAGAUCUUGCUGGCGAAUCUGCAUGAAAUCAUGAAAAUCAGAAUCAGACGCAGAAAGAAGGAAGAGAAGAAGAAAGAAGAAGAAAGAAAGAAGAAAAAAGAAGAAGAGAAGGCAGGAGCGGAGGAAGAAGGCAGACGCGGACGCUCGGCCGGAAUGCGACGAUCGGCGGAGCUCGACGAUCGGACGAACUAGACGAUCGGCCGCUCGGCCGGAAUGCAGGGGCCAUUUGUGUGUGUGUCUCCCUCUUCUCUCUUCUCUCCCUCUCUUUCCUUCUCUUCUCUCCGCUCUCCCUCUCUCUCUCUCCCUCUCCCUCUCCCUCAUCCCUUGCGUUUGAGCUCGAAAAAUGGUCGAAAAUGGAAGAAAAAAAAGAAACAAAAAAAAAAAACCUAAUGCCCAAAAUGACGUCGUUUUGGGCAUUAGGGGGAUUCGGGGAGACAAUGUUUCGAGCUCCCAAAUAUUAUCCUUUUUUUAAAUGAAUUUUAUAUAUGAAUGUAAUUUUUGUUGUUUUUUUACUUCUGUACAUUGUGAUCUCCUUCAUUUAUGUGAAAAAAUUGUUUUAACUGUCA